rnacentral:rRNA from 1 species
GAAGGCGAUGAAGGACGUGGUUUAGCUGCGAUAUGCUUCGGGGAGGUGCUAAGCAACCUUUGAUCCGGAGAUUUCCGAAUGGGGAAACCCUCCAGCCGUACUUUUGCAAGUUGAGUUACGUUUACUAAGCGAGGUCGAACGCAUGCGUUUGACUAAUCAAAGUUACCGAACACUCGAGUGCAAAAGUACGGCUGGAACCCAUACUCUAAACCCUCGGGAAGUGAAACAUCUCAGUACCGAGAGGAAAAGAGAACAAUAGUUAUUCCCUUAGUAGCGGCGAGCGAAAAGGGAGGAGCCCAAACUCAGCCACUUAAAUAGCUUCGAGCGAAUAGCUUCGAGCUUCGAGGAGAUGCAGAAAUGCAUUUUUUCUCGCAGCUUGCAGCUCGUACCUAGAAGCUGUCUAAGGGGAUGGGGGUUAUAAGGCUACGGCGUGCAAGCGAAAGCUUGCGUAGAGUUACAAAAUGCUUAGUUAGAAGAACGCGCUGGGAAGCGCGGCCCCAGAGGGUAAUAGCCCCGUAUUCGAAAACAAAGCAUCUCUAUGGCUGUAGUUCUUGAGUAGUUCGAGACAUGAAAAGCUCGGGUGAAUUCGCCAGAACUAACUGGUAAGGCUACAUACUUCUUCAGAUCGAUAGUGAACAAGUACCGUGAGGGAAAGGUGAAAAGAACCCCGGUGAGGGGAGUGAAAUAGAUCUGAAACCACAUGUCUACAAGGAGUCAAAGCGGGCAUCACAUUGCACGUGAUGUCGAAGUGAAAAGUGAGAAGUAAAAAGUAAAAAAGCGAUUCGCAAUUCGGAAUUAUUUUUUCCUUACAACUUUUUUCUUUUGCCUUCGGACAUCAUGCGUAGCGUGAUGUCCGCGAUGGCGUGCCUAUUGAAGAAUGAGCCAACGAGUUGAUGCAUACGGCUUGGCUAAGUCCUUUUCGGAUGGAGCCGUAGCGAAAGCGAGUGUGAAUAGCGCGUUCGUCGUAUGUAUCAGACCCGAAGCGAGGUGAGCUACCCAUGAGCAGGCUGAACGCCGCAGAAAUGCGACGGGAGGGCCGAACCCGUAGAUUGUGCAACAUCUUGGGAUGACUUGUGGGUUGGAGUGAAAAGCUUAUCGAACCUCGUAAUAGCUGGUUCUCUCCGAAAGAGCUUUCGGGCUUGCGUCGUAUGUUCGUGCUGGGGGUAGAGCACUGGAAGGUUCGGAUAGGCCGCAAGGCCACUGAUCCUAUCAAACUCCGAAUACCAGCAUGUCAGUACGGCAGUUAGACGAUGGGGGCGAAGCUCCGUACGUCAAAAGGGAAACAGCCCAGAUCGCCAGUUAAGGUCCCAAAAUCCAUACUAAGUGCAAGGAAGGAGGUGAGAUUUCUCAGACAAUGAGGAUGUUGGCUUAGAAGCAGCCACCAUUCAAAGAAAGCGUAACAGCUCACUCAUUCAGAGAUCUUGCGCCAAAAAUAAUCGGGGCUAAGUAUGGUACCGAAACUGCGGAU